UCAAAUCAAUUGGAGUAUAUCACAAAACACUGCACUCAUAAAGUAAUUACAUAAUUCUCAUACCAAAAAAUGAAGUUGUGUGAGGUGCAUACAUUAAUUCAGAAAAAUCCAAUACUGAUAACAUAUACCCUAAAACACACUAUCAACAACACAAGGACCUAAUUCACAGCCUAAUAAUACAUAAAAUCUAUGAGAAUAUAAAAGCCAAUACUCACCCAAAAGUUUGCACAGCCACAAAACCUUCUUUGACGAUUGAUUUCCUUAUAUAUUGUCCAUAUUUUUGUAGGCACAUGACAAUAGCACGUUACUGACUUGUCACCAUCUUCAACCUCUAUCCUUUUGUGUGAACCCACCCUUGCAUAUGCAAAUGGUCUCGUUGAUGAUGAAGAUGAUUCCAUUUUCUCCCUUUAAUCACCCAUAGGGCUGGAAUGAAACAAAAAGCAAUGAGAAUUUCAAGUACAAGAGAAUCCCUAAUUGUUCAAA
rnacentral:lncRNA from 1 species